GCCAUGCUCGUUUGCCUUUGUCGCGGUGAUUCUACAUCAACGGCUAACGCGAUGGCUCGGAUCCUCCAUGACAGACUAGUUGGCGUUGACAUAGCUGCGCGGAUGGCAAGUGGCUCUCUACAAGUUACCGCUGCUAGCGAAGCUGGCGAAGGAAAAGAGAAAAGAACGAAGCGACCAUCCACAGUUGAAAAAGGAAAAAGAUUUAAGAUCUUGAUGUGGCCAAAUGGAUUUGACAAAAUGACAAUCAAGUCCUCCUAAUCCUGUAGGACUUUGAUUGAUAAGUAACCGUGAGUCAGUAUAAUUUAAAAAAAUUAUAAUAAUUUAAAUUGAAGCCAAGAUGACAAAACCUUCUGUUACAUUUUAAACAUGCAUAUCUUCUUCAUCAGCUGUUUUUUUUUUUAACUUAAAUUUACUCAAAAGUAUUUACUCUACAAAAUAUGUUUACACCAUUACGUCUAACUGCUUAUGGGGGCCACCAUUUUUUGGUCUUUUCAUACUCACAAGAGUGCAAAUUCGUGAGAACGUGAUGUUUGUUCACCACUUCCUGUACAAUGCUUUUGCUUUCUGCUACACUUCAUCUGAUGGCCACUGCAUGGUUUCCAGCUGAUGCAUAGUGUACACAGGAUGGAAUGUUUAAACCCAUCGCUCUCAAAAGUCUCUCAGUUGACACAAUUCACUAGCCCACUGUAUUAGCAGGCAAGCCGCUACUUGUACUUUGACAUCACUUUUGGUAUGCAGCUGAAAGGAUUUUGCGCAACAUGGCGCCACCCUUACAUGGAUUAACUAUUGCUUUUAAGUUUUAUUUAACAAAUGCAAUAUUACUGUAUUUUCACAACCAUAAGGCGCACCGCAUUAAAAGGCGCAGUCUCAGUUA